rnacentral:rRNA from 1 species
AUUGAACGCUGGCGGCAUGCCUUACACAUGCAAGUCGAACGGCAGCACGGGAGCAAUCCUGGUGGCGAGUGGCGAACGGGUGAGUAAAGUAUCGGAACGUGCCCAGUCGUGGGGGAUAACGUAGCGAAAGUUACGCUAAUACCGCAUACGAUCUAUGGAUGAAAGCGGGGGAUCGCAAGACCUCGCGCGAUUGGAGCGGUCGAUAUCAGAUUAGGUAGUUGGUGGGGUAAAGGCUCACCAAGCCGACGAUCUGUAGCUGGCCUGAGAGGACGACCAGCCACACUGGGACUGAGACACGGCCCAGACUCCUACGGGAGGCAGCAGUGGGGAAUUUUGGACAAUGGGCGAAAGCCUGAUCCAGCCAUGCCGCGUGCAGGAUGAAGGCCUUCGGGUUGUAAACUGCUUUUGUACGGAACGAAAAGGUUUGGGCUAAUAAGCUGAGCUCAUGACGGUACCGUAAGAAUAAGCACCGGCUAACUACGUGCCAGCCGCCGCAGUAA